GACGUAGGGCGCGAGCGUUGUCCGGAUUUAUUGGGCGUAAAGAGCUCGUAGGCGGUUUGUUGCGUCGGCUGUGAAAUCCCGAGGCUCAACCUCGGGUCUGCAGUCGAUACGGGCAGGCUAGAAUUCGGUAGGGGAGACUGGAAUUCCUGGUGUAGCGGUGAAAUGCGCAGAUAUCAGGAGGAACACCGGUGGCGAAGGCGGGUCUCUGGGCCGAUAUUGACGCUGAGGAGCGAAAGCGUGGGGAGCGAACAGG
rnacentral:rRNA from 1 species